UUAUGGCCAUAUCACAUUGAAAUGCCAGUCCCCAUAUGAUCACUGAAGUUAAGGAACAUUGAGCCUGGUCAGUACCUAGAUGGGUGACCACUAGGAAAUGCCAGAUGCUGUAA